AGCGAACGCUGGCGGCAGGCCUAACACAUGCAAGUCGAACGAACCUUUCGGGGUUAGUGGCGGACGGGUGAGUAACACGUGGGAACGUGCCUUUAGGUUCGGAAUAACUCAGGGAAACUUGUGCUAAUACCGAAUGUGCCCUUCGGGGGAAAGAUUUAUCGCCUUUAGAGCGGCCCGCGUCUGAUUAGCUAGUUGGUUGAGGUAAUGGCUCACCAAGGCGACGAUCAGUAGCUGGUCUGAGAGGAUGAUCAGCCACAUUGGGACUGAGACACGGCCCAAACUCCUACGGGAGGCAGCAGUGGGGAAUCUUGCGCAAUGGGCGAAAGCCUGACGGAGCCAUGCCGCGUGAAUGAUGAAGGUCUUAGGAUUGUAAAAUUCUUUCAACGGGGAAGAUAAUGACGGUACCCGGAGAAGAAGCCCCGGCUAACUUCGUG
rnacentral:rRNA from 1 species